AGCUUAGGUGGGAGGCUAUGAACCUUUUCUUCUGGGAAGAGGGGAGCCAUCAGUGAGAUACCACUCUUGGUAAGCUAGAGCGCUCAGUCUUCACCGUCAUCCGGUAAGACGACAGUUUCAGGCGGGCAGUUUGACUGGGGCAGUCACCUCCCAAAAGGUAAUGGAGGUGUGCAAAGGUUCCCUCAGGCUGGACGGAAAUCAGCCAUAGAGUGUAAAAGCAAAAGGGAGCUUGACUGCGAGACUGACAUGUCAAGCAGAGACGAAAGUCGGCUUUAGUGAUCCGACGGUGCUGUGUGGAAAGGCCGUCGCUCAACGGAUAAAAGUUACUCUAGGGAUAAC
rnacentral:rRNA from 1 species